rnacentral:rRNA from 1 species
AGUGAACGCUGGCGGUAGGCCUAGCACAUGCCAGUCGAACGGCAGCACAGUAAGAGCUUGCUCUUACGGGUGGCGAGUGGCGGACGGGUGAGGAAUACAUCGGAAUCUACUUUUUCGUGGGGGAUAACGUAGGGAAACUUACGCUAAUACCGCAUACGACCUACGGGUGAAAGCAGGGGAUCUUCGGACCUUGCGCGAUUGAAUGAGCCGAUGUCGGAUUAGCUAGUUGGCGGGGUAAAGGCCCACCAAGGCGACGAUCCGUAGCUGGUCUGAGAGGAUGAUCAGCCACACUGGAACUGAGACACGGUCCAGACUCCUACGGGAGGCAGCAGUGGGGAAUAUUGGACAAUGGGCGAAAGCCUGAUCCAGCCAUACCGCGUGGGUGAAGAAGGCCUUCGGGUUGUAAAGCCCUUUUGUUGGGAAAGAAAAGCAGCAGGUUAAUACCCCGCUGUUCUGACGGUACCCAAAGAAUAAGCACCGGCUAACUUCGUG